rnacentral:pre_miRNA from 1 species
AGACACCCUUAUGGGGCAAGACUUGCUUCAGUAGGGCUUUGGUGCUCACUGAAUCUGCCCCCUGAGUGUGUCCCU